rnacentral:rRNA from 1 species
GGGCCCGCACAAGCGGUGGAGCAUGUGGUUUAAUUCGAUGAUACGCGAGGAACCUUACCAGGGCUUAAAUGUAGUCUGACAGAUUUGGAAACAGAUUUUUCUUCGGACUACUUACAAGGUGCUGCAUGGUUGUCGUCAGCUCGUGCCGUGAGGUGUCAGGUUAAGUCCUAUAACGAGCGCAACCCCUAUCGUUAGUUGCCAUCAAGUAAAGUUGGGAACUCUAGCGAAACUGCCGGUGCAAACCGUGAGGAAGGUGGGGAUGACGUCAAAUCAUCACGGCCCUUACGUUCUGGGCUACACACGUGCUACAAUGGCCGGUACAGAAAGCAGCCACUAUGCGAAUAGGAGCUAAUCUUUAAAACCGGUCUCAGUUCGGAUCGCAGUCUGCAACUCGACUGCGUGAAGCUGGAAUCGCUAGUAAUCGGAUAUC